rnacentral:rRNA from 1 species
CGCUCUUUGCAAAAAAAAUUAAAGUAUAAAGAGUUCUGCCUGCCCAGUGACGUUGUUAAACGGCCGCGGUAUCUUGACCGUGCAAAGGUAGCAUAAUCAUUUGCCUCUUAAAUGGGGGCUGGUAUGAAUGGCAAGACGGAGGUUAAGCUGUCUUUUUCUUCCGUCUUGAAAUUAAUGUUUUUGUGAAGAAGCAAAAAUUUAUUCGCAGGACGAGAAGACCCUAUCGAGCUUUAGCAUAAAUAUUAGUAAUAUUUUUACUUAAAAAAUCUAAUCACAUCUAUACUGGAUAGUGCAGAAAAUUAGUUUUUAUAAGAAAAAUUAUAUAGUGUUAUUGUUUUGGUUGGGGCAACCGUGGAGGAAAUAAAGCCUCCGCUAAAUUAAGAAAAAGAUACAACUUUGUUAAAAAUAAUAGUGACCCGAUUUAUAUCGAGCAAAGAAACAAGUUACCGUAGGGAUAACAGCGUAAUUUUUUUGGAGAGUUCAUAUUGAUAAAAAAGUUUGCGACCUCGAUGUUGGAUCGGGAUAUCCUAGAGAUGCAGCAGUUUCUAAGGGUUGGUCUGUUCGACCAUUAAAAUCCU